UCAACCCCUCGAAGCCCGCAAGCACACCCAUCUUGUUUCGUCUCUCUUUCCCCGACCUCCCCUCGCCGCCGCCGCCACUGUCGACGCCAACCUCCAGCGACGACGUUCCUCUCUCACUCAAUCGACAAAAGGCACCCCCGCCGGCAGGUACACGUCUGACACGCACGAGGGGCCGGCCGACGGUAAGAACAAGAAGGCGACGGUGGACGAGUCGCCGCCGCCGACGCACGUCCCAAACCAGUGGGUCGCCUUCUGCACCGACCACUCCUGGUCGCAGCGCGUGCACGACGUUCUCCUACAUCUCAGCGACGCGGGCAUCGCGGCCUUGCUGAGGGAGUUGAAUUGGAAGGUUGGAGGCGGCGCACACGGCUAGGUAGCUCAUGAGGGUCCGAUGGGGUGAGCAGCGAGGGCGGCUACCUGCAGAAGAGGAGAGCUCGAGACAAGCAACAUUGAGGAAUGAUGGCGAUUAUUGGUGCAGGGACUCCUAAUCAUCCCUCCCCUGUUCUUCUUGGCUUCAGGGACUACCAUUGGGCAGCCUCUUCUUCUCCAUGGUGCUCCAGCAACUGCACAAAGAGGUCAGUUAUCUCGAUCGGUGCCCCAUAACUCAGGCCGGAGAUGAUGGAAGGAUCUGCACAAGAGGACAUGUCUCUGGACAGCCGCCAAGUGUUCUUCGUGCUAUGCUACUGCAUGAAUCGCCUCCUGGCCAGGUAAUAGUUACACUAUAAAUCUGAAAUGCAUAAGGAGGACUAAGCAUAAGACAUUAGGGAUGAUUAGGGUUGGUUUGUUCCGUGUUAAGAAAGUAAGGUUUUUCUUUUGGCUUGGCAUAUGCUUCUCAGGUGGUUUUAUCUGCCCAAACAGGGCGCUCAAAUUGUGAAUUGAGAUCACUCCUCCAAGAAGACAAGAAACUAAAUUUUAUGUGUCUAAAAUCAAAUGCUAGCUCUUGAGUUAUUCUCUACCAGUCUGCAUAUCCACUCCUUUGUAUGUUCUAAUGCACCAUGGUUAUCACUUAGUUGAACUUGCUAUUUUAGUGAUAUAAUUUUUUCAAUAUAACUUUGUUUAUCAAGCUGAUCAAAUUUCUCUUUUUUAUUACACUUCUUCUCUUUUUUUCUAAAGAACAUAACUAACAUAAUUUGAUUGUCCGUUCUUCAAGUUUUGAGCAUAAUUGGGUUCUGACUGUGAGAGUAUCAUUUACAAUGUAAAAGGAGGCACACAUAACUAGAAAUAUACAGCGAAUUCGCUUAGUCUGUGUCACACGACAUCCAUCCCAUCAGUCACUAUAGUCACAAGACUACCCCACGGAUGGAUGUUGCAGUCAGUGGCCAUGAAGAGGCUUAUGCCUGAGUGGAGGUGCAGUACCGGAUGCUGAGAGAAAAUGUUACCCACCCGGCUACAAGGAUAGCUGGGAGGAGGAAGAACCGAGCCACAUGGGUAACUUGAAGGGAAAAAAUCAGUGGCGCCACCAUCCAUUUUCUCAUGCCUCCCCUUCUACAGAUACACAACCACUGCCCUUGCUGCUUCUCAACUCCACCUUUGUCCUUGGCACCAUCGGCAUUGACGCAGUCGUCCAUCUGCAUGCCGCAUCAGUUAAGAAGUAGGCACAUCAACUAUGUGCUGAUGCCCAAUUUGCAUCUAGGCAUCAUGUAUGUUGCUUUGUUUCUCCUGUACUACUGCUCGCAUAGUUAUUUCUGUUUACUUUGUCUUUUUUUUGCUUACUAUUGGAUCUUAGUCUGGAUUGCGCACCCUGAUUCCACCUGUUUUUACAUGUGAUUUGGUUUGGUGGAUUUGGAGCAAGGAUUUGGUUGCUGCUAAAAUUAGAAUACUUGGGAGAUUCAUGGAGCAACAAACAUGACAUGAUCAAAUCAAACCAUUUAAUUGGAGACAAGGAUUGCUGAGUACAAAGGAUUGUAAUUUUGGCCUUCAGUACUAUUGAUGUGCGUCCUUUUCAAUUUUCAGUGUUUAAAUUUUUUAUGUUGUGCUAUCUGGUGGAAUCUAGAAUGUGAGCAGUUGGGCACUGAUAAUAGGAACAGGAAUGGUUCUGCCAAUGAAGCAUUUUUAUAUUUGUUUUGAUACCAUGUAAUGUAAGCGCAGUUUUAGAUUGAAGAAUGUUAUUCUAAGAGGCUAUAUGGUCUAAUGAUAUGUACAAUAACUUCAUACCGUGUGCUUAGGGUGUGAGUAAGAAGCAUAACUAUCUACAUAUAGGCAAAUCUUUCUACAACUUGGCAAUAAAAUAGUGGUACAUCAAAUUAUUAUUUCAUUUGUCUUUUUUCUCUUGCAUUAUAAUGUGGAAUAAAGAUACUUAGGUUCUCUCUAUAUCUUUUUUCUUACAUUAUGAUUUCAAAUGAACAUUCCCUUGGUUCUUAAGAUCAUUAGAUGAAUGGUUAUUUACACCGUAUGUGCCUUUUAUUCCUAGAAUCAUCUUUCCCUUGCAUAGUAUUUCAGAACAAAGAGUGUUUACAAUUUCUUGGCACUCUUUCCAAAUGGAUCAUCCUGUCAUUUAUAAUUUUCUUAUUCCGGGUCAUGAGAGUAGGGCAUUGCUACAACCUAUUGACGUGUACAAAUUAUAUCAUAAGAUACCCUUAUGAUGCAUCUUUAGUUCAGUACUUUCAUCACUGUCUUUCUUGUUCAUCAGAUUGAACGAGGAUGCUACAGAUUUAAGUGUUGCUGAUUGAUAUAUAUCCACUGAGCCAGCUAAAACUGUGAUUGAUUCCAUAGCUGCUGCCAUGUCAAGAACAAUUUAUACUCAUCUUUGCAUAGUUUUUACAUAGUUUAGUUUCUAAUGUACACAACCAAGUUUGGCUUCAAUUUUCAGGCUGCUUACAAAAUGGUAUUUGCAUUGUCUUGGCCUGUUAUCUAUACUAAUUCUUCAUUUUUACUGAUUAGAGCUAUUAUCUAUACGCUUAUAUUGUCCUCUUCUGCAUCACUAAUGCCGCAGUUUGGUCAAGGAUGCACACAAAUCCCUCUUUAUCUAACUUCAGAACCAGCUGAACAUCCUCAAUAUAGGCAUAGCACCUCUCUACUCCAAACUCAACUUGAAUACAUCCUUUUCCACCACCCACAUGAACCGCCGACUUCUUUUGCACAUAACGACGACUCUGUUCAGAGCAAUCACUUCACUAAUUUUGUUCAGAGUUGCAUAAUGCACACGCCGACUGCUUCAUGUAGUUUAUAUUGCUGACGGAUGUGUGCCUUUUCCUUUUUGAGCUCUGUAUGCCAUUCCCGACAAGUAUAGAAGAUAAUAGUCAUAUAAAAUGAUCAGUAUUUCAUUUGCACAAAAUGGAUCAGAAGUUCGAGUAUUUCACUAAAAAUAAGAAUUUAACUCUUUCAUCUUUCUAUAUAUUU